CCUACGGGAGGCAGCAGUGAGGGAUAUUGGUCAAUGGACGCAAGUCUGAACCAGCCAUGCCGCGUGCAGGAUGACGGCUCUAUGAGUUGAAAACUGCUUUUGUACGAGGGUAAUAUCAGAUACGUGUAUCUGCUUGAAAGUGUCGUACGAAUAAGCAGCGGCUACCUCCGUGCCAGCAGCCGCGGUAAUACGGAGGAUCCAAGCGUUAUCCGGAUUUAUUGGGUGUAAAGGGUGCGUAGGCGGUUUUAUAGGUAUGAGGUGAAAAUUCGGGGCUCAACCCCGGACGUGCAUUUAGUACUGUAUUACUAGAGAAUAGAUGAGGUAGGCGGAAUGUAUGGUGUAGCGGUGAAAUGCGUAGAGAUUAUACAGAACACCGAUGGCGAAGGCAGCUUACCAAACUAUAUCUGACGUUGAGGCACGAAAGCGUGGGGAGCAAACAGGAUUAGAUACCCCGGUAGUC
rnacentral:rRNA from 1 species